rnacentral:lncRNA from 1 species
AUUCCGUUCUUCCUCUCAGUUCAAAAAUGAGUGCUGUAAAGAUUGAAGAAGCUUCCGUGGACAAGCUGAAGAUACACCUCACUGCUACUGCCUGCCUGCAGGAGGAAGAUAAAGCUUGUGAUUUGCAGAUCCACUACAACACGAAGAGGGAGACAGAAUUGAGGAGGAGCCGGAAUCUUCUUUCAGCAAAUCAUGUGAAAUGUGUGGUUUCUGGUAAAGUACUCCAAGGAAAACUUCUCAGAAGCAUCUCCCCUGAGUCUCGUGUUAAGCUUCACUGCUGCUAUGG